rnacentral:lncRNA from 1 species
UUUUUAGACUAAAAAACAUGAAAAAUCAAUAAUAUAAUAAUGAUUAAAAAAAAAUAAUAAAAAAAUAAAAAGGUUCAAUUUUUAAUUAUAAAAUAAUGUAAAUGAAGGUAAAAACAUAAAAAAGAGAAAAGACUCUAAAAAGUGGGAAAAUCAGAAAUCAAACUCAAGACCUCUCCUUUAUAGCUCCUUAAACACACUCUUCUACCAAUUGUGCUAUUUCAUUUAUUCAAGAUAAAGUGACACUAGAAAGCAUAUGAAGGA